CCGCCAUCUGGAAACACAAAUUUGGAAGAAUCCGGGUUGAUCCAAUGGCACACACAGUCAUCGUGGGAAUUGUGAACGAGAACCAUCACUGGAUGUUGGUGGUAAUGUACCCCCAUGAGAAGAAAACCCUCUUCUUGGAUCCACUUGGAGAAGGGAAAGGCAAAAUGAGGGUGUGCCUACAGUCUACAAGUUUGCAGAGAAGAUUUUACUGGGGGAGGCAAUUGAGUUUGAAACCUCACAGAAGGCAGUGCACGAGCUGAGGCUGGACAUUGCUACUUCUCUCCUCAGAGAAUCUGAUGAUCUAAGCAGGCUUUGCUUUUACUGCGGGAUGGAGGAGCAGGAUGAAGAACAUUGGAUUUGCUGUGACAUUUGUCAGUGGUGGUACCACCACCAAUGUGUACAAAGGCCUCCAGUGGAUCAACCGUACUUGUGCCCUGGAUGCACAUAAUGCCCCGAAGGAACCAUCAUUAACUGUCCACUGUCAUUUCAACCAAUGCAACUAUUGUUUGGCCUGUCAUAAAAUGCACCCCACCCCAAAA